rnacentral:tRNA from 1 species
GGCGCGUUCGUCUAUCGGUUAGGACGGGACCCUUUCAAGGUCUAGAGACGGGUUCGACUCCCGUACGCGCUA